GACGAACGCUGGCGGCGUGCUUAACACAUGCAAGUCGAACGGAAAGGCCCUGCUUUUGUGGUGUGCUCGAGUGGCGAACGGGUGAGUAACACGUGAGUAACCUGCCCUUUACUGUGGGAUAACUUCAGGAAACUGGGGCUAAUACCGGAUAGGAGCUCCUGCUGCAUGGUGGGGGUUGGAAAGUUUCGGCGGUUGGGGAUGGACUCGCGGCUUAUCAGCGUGUUGGUGGGGUAGUGGCUUACCAAGGCUUUGACGGGUAGCCGGCCUGAGAGGGUGACCGGCCACAUUGGGACUGAGAUACGGCCAAGACUGCUACGGGAGGCAGCAGUGGAGAAUAGUGCACAAUGGGCGGAAGCCUGAUGCAGCAACGCCGCGUGCGGGAUGACGGCCUUCGGGUUGUAAACCGCUUUCGCCUGUGACGAAGCGUGAGUGACGGUAAUGGGUAAAGAAGCACCGGCUAACUACGUG
rnacentral:rRNA from 1 species